rnacentral:tRNA from 1 species
GUGAAUUUAGUUUAAAGAAAAACCAUUGACCUGCAAUCAACAAACUUGGGUUCAAACCCCAAAAUUUACA